GACGAACGCUGGCGGCGUGCUUAACACAUGCAAGUCGAACGGUAAGGCCCUUCGGGGUACACGAGUGGCGAACGGGUGAGUAACACGUGGGUGAUCUGCCCUGCACUUCGGGAUAAGCCUGGGAAACUGGGUCUAAUACCGGAUAGGACCACUGCCUGCAUGGGUGGUGGUGGAAAGCUUUUGCGGUGUGGGAUGGGCCCGCGGCCUAUCAGCUUGUUGGUGGGGUGAUGGCCUAGCAAGGCGACGACGGGUAGCCGGCCUGAGAGGGUGAACGGCCACACUGGGACUGAGGUACGGCGCAGACUCCGACGGGAGGCAGCAGUGGGGAAUAUUGCACAAUGGGCGCAAGCCUGAUGCAGCGACGCCGCGUGAGGGAUGACGGCCUUCGGGUUGUAAACCUCUUUCAGCACCGACGAAGCGCAAGUGACGGUAGGUGCAGAAGAAGGACCGGCCAACUACGUGCCAGCCGCCGCCGUAACAC
rnacentral:rRNA from 1 species